rnacentral:lncRNA from 1 species
GUUUCCGGCCGAGGCUGCGGCCAUGGCAGCAUCUUCCCUGACGGUCACCUUAGGGCGGCUGGCGUCCGCGUGCAGCCACAGCAUCCUGAGACCUUCGGGGCCCGGAGCAGCCUCCCUUUGGUCUGCUUCUCGAAGGUUCAAUUCACAGAGCACUUCAUAUCUACCAGGGUAAUAUCAAAAUAUAUGUUCCUAAAACAUCCCUGAGUUCACCACCUUGGCCAGAAGUUGUUCUGCCAGACCCAGUUGAGGAGACCAGACACCAUGCAGAGGUCGUGAAGAAGGUGAAUGAGAUGAUCGUCACGGGGCAGUAUGGCAGGCUCUUUGCCGUGGUGCACUUUGCCAGCCGCCAGUGGAAGGUGACCUCUGAAGACCUGAUCUUAAUUGGAAAUGAACUAGACCUUGCGUGUGGAGAGAGAAUUCGACUGGAGAAGGUGAGACCACCGAGCUUCUCUGGAUAUUCAGGGACUCAGCCACCAAGUCCUGCUGGUUGGGGCAGACAACUUCACGCUGCUUGGCAAGCCACUCCUCGGAAAGGAUCUUGUUCGAGUAGAAGCC